UUAAAUCCACAACACACCUGAGAACCCACCGUAGGCCUUCGGGCUUAUGUAUCAUAUACUCUGAAUGUGUCAUAGAAUGUUCAUGUUGCCUUAAAACGCAAUCAAAUACAACUUUCAACAACGGAUCUCUUGGCUCUCGCAUCGAUGAAGAACGCAGCGAAAUGCGAUAAGUAAUGUGAAUUGCAGAUUUUCAGUGAAUCAUCGAAUCUUUGAACGCACCUUGCGCUCCUUGGUAUUCCGAGGAGCAUGCCUGUUUGAGUGUCAUUAAAUUCUCAACCCCACCGAUUUGCUUCGGGGGGAUUGGACUUGGAGCGUGCUGGCGAAGGUCGGCUCCUCUUUAAAUGCAUCAGUGGAGAGAAACUUGCCCCAGUGUGAUAAUCCUGUUGCGCUGUGGUGGGUGAAAGUCUGCUUCCAACCGUCCCUCCGGGGACAUAUGUCAUCUUAUUUUGACCUCAAAUCAGGUAGGACUACCCGCUGAACUUAAGCAUAUCAAUAAGCGGAGGACUCUAAUCAGUCGACGCCUUCUGGGCGUCUUCCUUAUAGACGUUUGACCUCAAAUCAGGUAGGACUACCCGCUGAACUUAAGCAUAUCAAUAAGCGGAGGAA
rnacentral:rRNA from 1 species